GAAAGACACUAUUUAAACAUGUUGAUGAACUGAGCUGGAUUUUUCCCCACCUCCAUUCCAGCAAAAUAAGGAGACUCAGAAGAUAAAAUUUGUUUUGUUAUUGCAAGUACUGCUAUGUGAUAUACCUUCAGAUCUUUAUGGUUCACUUGAGGUCCACAGAACAAGCCAAAGCCCAUGCCAGAAGUCAGCAGCAGAAGGCCUAAGCACCAAAUAUCUGCCUCCAGCUUUUUUGAAGAGGUCUGAGGAUGACUUUUCUGAAAAGAGAGACCACUACCCUUCAAAAAGUGAUGUCUGAGACCUUACUGUGCUAUGAAGAGCUACAGAGACCACACCACCUUGCUCUGGAAAAGCAUAGGUGGGAUUUGAGAAUAUCUUGCAUGGGUUAGUAGAAGACAAUGGGAAACAGACUUCAAUUUCUCUAAACCUGUACUAAGCUCUUACUUGGAAAUAAGACUGCAAUGACAAAGUCACAAAGAAUAGCUCUUCCUGCUCCAGCUUUGGGAGGCCAAGGGGCUCUUGUGUCACUGAUAAAUUUCUUAGGAGUGACAAAGGUGAAGGUGACACACUUUGGCAAACAGCUGUACUGCUUAUGUGCUGCUUCAAAGAAGUUGAAGGAUGUUAUGAAGACAUAGUCUCUAGCAUCAUCAACAUCCAUACUGAAAAUAAGUGCCAUCUUGCUUUGUAUUUGUGGAUUCAUUUUGAGAUGGAGCUCUGAAACAAUGUUUAAAGGGUGAUAUGGUAAAGCUACAAGUGAAGAACAGGAAGAUUUGUUAUUCUGACCUAGGAGACAUUCAUGGCUUUUUAGAAGAUCUAACUAGGUAAACACUGCGUUGGUAUCUGGGACUUUGAUCUUGAGCCUAAAAUCCCAUGGACGAGUUACAAGACUUCCAAAGUAAUAAUGGUGCUUCUUUUGAAAUGAUGGAUCACACCACUGAAAUGGAGUGGG